GAUGAACGCUGGCGGCGUGCCUAAUACAUGCAUGUCGAGCGAACAGACGAGGAGCUUGCUCCUCUGACGUUAGCGGCGGACGGGUGAGUAACACGUGGAUAACCUACCUAUAAGACUGGGAUAACUUCGGGAAACCGGAGCUAAUACCGGAUAAUAUAUUGAACCGCACGGUUCAAUAGUGAAAGACUGUUUUGCUGUCACUUAUAGAUGGAUCCGCGCCGCAUUAGCUAGUUGGUAAGGUAACGGCUUACCAAGGCAACGAUGCGUAGCCGACCUGAGAGGGUGAUCGGCCACACUGGAACUGAGACACGGUCCAGACUCCUACGGGAGGCAGCAGUAGGGAAUCUUCCGCAAUGGGCGAAAGCCUGACGGAGCAACGCCGCGUGAGUGAUGAAGGUCUUCGGAUCGUAAAACUCUGUUAUUAGGGAAGAACAAAUGUGUAAGUAACUAUGCACGUCUUGACGGUACCUAAUCAGAAAGCCACGGCUAACUACGUG
rnacentral:rRNA from 1 species